rnacentral:rRNA from 1 species
GACGUAGGGCGCAAGCGUUGUCCGGAUUUAUUGGGCGUAAAGAGCUCGUAGGCGGCUUGUUGCGUCGUCCGUGAAAACCCGCAGCUCAACUGCGGGCUUGCGGACGAUACGGGCAGGCUGGAGUUCGGUAGGGGAGACUGGAAUUCCUGGUGUAGCGGUGGAAUGCGCAGAUAUCAGGAGGAACACCGGUGGCGAAGGCGGGUCUCUGGGCAGUAACUGACGCUGAGGAGCGAAAGCGUGGGGAGCGAACAGG